rnacentral:misc_RNA from 1 species
UUCGGUUGACCAUAAUCCUGUCUAAUGCCUCCUGAACUAUCCUUUCAGAUUCUGCAUCGAGUGCACUUGUGGCUUCAUCUAAAAGUAAAAUCCUUGGAUCUUUAAGGAUUGCUCUUGCUAUUGCAAUUCUUUGCUUCUGUCCUCCAGAUAGCUGAGUUCCAUGCUCACCAGCCAUGGUGUCUAGUCCCUGAGGUAGUUUGUCAAUGAAUUUGGCAGCAUUGGCAAGUUCAGCCGCAGCUCUUAUCUCCUCAGUCGUUGCCCCAUCUUUUCCAUAUGCAAUAUUAUCCCUAAUGCUGACUGUAAACAACACAGGUUCUUGGCUGACGAGUCCAAUUUUUUCCCUAAUCCACUUUAGCUGGAACUCUUUGAGGUUGAUGCCAUCAAUGAGAACUUCACCAGCUUGUGGA